GUGGACCCGUGAUCCGGGUUGCGGACAGUGUCUGGUGGGUAGUUUGACUGGGGCGGUCUCCUCCUAAAGAGUAACGGAGGAGCACGAAGGUUGGCUAAUCCUGGUCGGACAUCAGGAGGUUAGUGCAAUGGCAUAAGCCAGCUUGACUGCGAGCGUGACGGCGCGAGCAGGUGCGAAAGCAGGUCAUAGUGAUCCGGUGGUUCUGAAUGGAAGGGCCAUCGCUCAACGGAUAAAAGGUACUCCGGGGAUAACAGGCUGAUACCGCCCAAGAGUUCAUAUCGACGGCGGUGUUUGGCACCUCGAUGUCGGCUCAUCACAUCCUGGGGCUGAAGUAGGUCCCAAGGGUAUGGCUGUUCGCCAUUUAAAGUGGUACGCGAGCUGGGUUUAGAACGUCGUGAGACAGUUCGGUCCCUAUCUGCCGUGGGCGCUGGAGAACUGAGGGGGGCUGCUCCUAGUACGAGAGGACCGGAGUGGACGCAUCACUGGUGUUCGGGUUGUCAUGCCAAUGGCACUGCCCGGUAGCUAAAUGCGGAAGAGAUAAGUGCUGAAAGCAUCUAAGCACGAAACUUGCCCCGAGAUGAGUUCUCCCUGAGACUUUAGGUCUCCUGAAGGAACGUUGAAGACGACGACGUUGAUAGGCCGGGUGUGUAAGCGCAGCGAUGCGUUGAGCUAACCGGUACUAAUGAACCGUGAGGCUUAACCUUACA
rnacentral:rRNA from 1 species